rnacentral:misc_RNA from 1 species
GAUGAAGAACGCAGCGAAAUGCGAUAAGUAAUGUGAAUUGCAGAGUUUUGUGAAUCAUCGAAUCUUUGAACGCACAUUGCGCCCCUCGGUAUUCCGACGGGCAUGCCUGUCCGAGCGUCGUUUGCAACCCAUCGAGUAACAUUUCUCGGUCUUGGGCGCCGUCCGCCCCCUCGGGGGAUCGGACGGGCCCCAAAGCCCUCGGCGGCCCCGCGUGCCCCGCCGGAGCGUCUUCGAAAGCAAUCGCUCCGGCGCGUCGCGCCCCGGGACCAAGCCGGCACCGCGGCCCCCCCAAAGGGGUCGCACCCCCAACACCAAACGUCUGACCUCGGAUCAGGUAGGGCUACCCGCUGAACUUAAGCAUAUCAAUAAGCGGAGGA